rnacentral:misc_RNA from 1 species
GAUGAGACAAAUGUUUUUGAACCAUUUUCAGAAGCUGAAUAUCUGAGCAAGAAUUACCAGGAAAUAACAGCCUUUUUCGUCGUCUCAUAUCAGGCGAAAUCUGUAUCAGAUAAUGCACUUAGAAGUUUAAGGUCAUGUUUCACCUUUCUGUGUGCAAAAUUCGAGAAACACAUAUAUCCUUUAGUUUUGUAAUAUGUUAGCUCUUCUUUU